AGAGUUUGAUCCUGGCUCAGGAUGAACGCUGGCGGCGUGCCUAACACAUGCAAGUCGAACGGAGCCUUAACCAAAGAAGCAGCCAGCUUGCUGGAAGCGGAAAAGGGAAAGGCUUAGUGGCGGACGGGUGAGUAACGCGUGGGUAACCUGGCCCAUACAGGGGGAUAACACUUAGAAAUAGGUGCUAAUACCGCAUAACAACAGAAAGCGCAUGCUUUUUGUUUGAAAACCAAGGUGGUAUGGGAUGGACCCGCGUCUGAUUAGCUGGUUGGCGGGGUAAAGGCCCACCAAGGCGACGAUCAGUAGCCGGCCUGAGAGGGUGGACGGCCACAUUGGGACUGAGACACGGCCCAAACUCCUACGGGAGGCAGCAGUGGGGAAUAUUGCACAAUGGGGGAAACCCUGAUGCAGCGACGCCGCGUGAGUGAAGAAGUAAUUCGUUAUGUAAAGCUCUAUCAGCAGGGAAGAAAAUGACGGUACCUGAGUAAGAAGCCCCGGCUAACUACGUGCCAGCAGCCGCGGUAAUACGUAGGGGGCAAGCGUUAUCCGGAUUUACUGGGUGUAAAGGGAGCGUAGACGGCAGUGCAAGUCUGGAGUGAAAGGCGGGGGCUCAACCCCCGGACUGCUCUGGAAACUGUACGGCUGGAGUGCAGGAGAGGUAAGUGGAAUUCCUAGUGUAGCGGUGAAAUGCGUAGAUAUUAGGAGGAACACCAGUGGCGAAGGCGGCUUACUGGACUGUAACUGACGUUGAGGCUCGAAAGCGUGGGGAGCAAACAGGAUUAGAUACCCUGGUAGUCCACGCCGUAAACGAUGAUCCCUAGGUGUCGGGGGUUAAAGAACCUUCGGUGCCUGCAGCCAACGCAGUAAGUGAUCCACCUGGGGAGCACGUUCGCAAGAAUGAAACUCAAAGGAAUUGACGGGGACCCGCACAAGCGGUGGAGCAUGUGGUUUAAUUUGAAGCAACGCGAAGAACCUUACCAGGCCUUGACAUCCCCCUGAAUGGGUGGUAAUGCAUCCAGCCCUUCGGGGCAGGGGAGACAGGUGGUGCAUGGUUGUCGUCAGCUGGUGUGGUGAGAUGUUGGUUUAAGUCCCGCAGUGAGCGCAACCCGUCCGUUUUGUAGUAGCAUUCAGGAUGGGCACUCAGGAGGGCCUCCCCGGGAGAACCGGGAGGUAGGUGGGGAUGCCCUCAAAUCAUCAUGCCCAUUACGGCCUGGGUUACAUCACGUGCUACAAUGGCGUAAACAAAGGGAAGUGAUCCCCCGAGGGUAAGCGAAUC
rnacentral:rRNA from 1 species